rnacentral:rRNA from 2 species
AGCGGCGGACGGGUGAGUAACACGUGGGUAACCUGCCUGUAAGACUGGGAUAACUCCGGGAAACCGGGGCUAAUACCGGAUACUUGUUUGAACCGCAUGGUUCAAACAUAAAAGGUGGCUUCGGCUACCACUUACAGAUGGACCCGCGGCGCAUUAGCUAGUUGGUGAGGUAAUGGCUCACCAAGGCAACGAUGCGUAGCCAACCUGAGAGGGUGAUCGGCCACACUGGGACUGAGACACGGCCCAGACUCCUACGGGAGGCAGCAGUAGGGAAUCUUCCGCAAUGGACGAAAGUCUGACGGAGCAACGCCGCGUGAGUGAUGAAGGUUUUCGGAUCGUAAAGCUCUGUUGUUAGGGAAGAACAAGUGCCGUUCAAAUAGGGCGGCACCUUGACGGUACCUAACCAGAAAGCCACGGCUAACUACGUGCCAGCAGCCGCGGUAAUACGUAGGUGGCAAGCGUUGUCCGGAAUUAUUGGGCGUAAAGGGCUCGCAGGCGGUUUCUUAAGUCUGAUGUGAAAGCCCCCGGCUCAACCGGGGAGGGUCAUUGGAAACUGGGGAACUUGAGUGCAGAAGAGGAGAGUGGAAUUCCACGUGUAGCGGUGAAAUGCGUAGAGAUGUGGAGGAACACCAGUGGCGAAGGCGACUCUCUGGUCUGUAACUGACGCUGAGGAGCGAAAGCGUGGGGAGCGAACAGGAUUAGAUACCCUGGUAGUCCACGCCGUAAACGAUGAGUGCUAAGUGUUAGGGGGUUUCCGCCCCUUAGUGCUGCAGCUAACGCAUUAAGCACUCCGCCUGGGGAGUACGGUCGCAAGACUGAAACUCAAAGGAAUUGACGGGGGCCCGCACAAGCGGUGGAGCAUGUGGUUUAAUUCGAAGCAACGCGAAGAACCUUACCAGGUCUUGACAUCCUCUGACACCCCUAGAGAUAGGGCUUCCCCUUCGGGGGCAGAGUGACAGGUGGUGCAUGGUUGUCGUCAGCUCGUGUCGUGAGAUGUUGGGUUAAGUCCCGCAACGAGCGCAACCCUUGAUCUUAGUUGCCAGCAUUCAGUUGGGCACUCUAAGGUGACUGCCGGUGACAAACCGGAGGAAGGUGGGGAUGACGUCAAAUCAUCAUGCCCCUUAUGACCUGGGCUACACACGUGCUACAAUGGACAGAACAAAGGGCAGCGAGACCGCGAGGUUAAGCCAAUCCCACAAAUCUGUUCUCAGUUCGGAUCGCAGUCUG